AAGCCUCAAGAGGGACAUGUUUCAAGUAAGCAUGCACUGUUGAAGAUGUUAAGAGAGAUAUGACUCAGGAAAGUCUGCGUUAUGGACAACUUCAGGAGGGACCUCACUCUGGUUACUGGUAAGAGUGUACCAACACAACCUCAAGUGGGACAUGACAAAGGUAAGCCUGCACCAUGGACAACCUCAAGAGGUACAUGACUAAGGUAAGCCUGCAACGUGGCCAACCUCAAGAGAGACAUGACUAAGGUAAGCCUGCACCAUGGACAACCUCAAGAGAGACAUGACUAAGGUAAGCCUGCACCAUGGACAACCUCAAGAGAGACAUGACUAAGGUAAGCCUGCACCAUGGACAACCACAAGAGAGACAUGACUAAGGUAAGCCUGCACCAUGGACCACCUCAAGAGAGACAUGACUAAGGUAAGCCUGCACCAUGGACAACCUCAAGAGGUACAUGAGUAAGGUAAGCCUGCACCAUGGACAACCUCAAGAGAGACAUGACUAAGGUAAGCCUGCACCAUGGACAACCUCAAGAGGUACAUGACUAAGGUAAGCCUGCACCAUGGACAGCCUCAAGAGAGACAUGACUAAGGUAAGCCUGCACCAUGGACAACUACAAGAGAGACAUGACUAAGGUAAGCCUGCACCAUGGACAGCCUCAAGAGGGACAUGACUAAGGUAGGCCUGCACCAUGGACAACCACAAGAGAGACAUGACUAAGGUAAGCCUGCACCAUGGACAGCCUCAAGAGAGGCAUGACUAAGGUAAGCCUGCACCAUGGACAACCUCAAGAGAUACAUGACUAAGGUAAGGCUGCACCAUGGAGAUCCUCAAGAGAGACAUGACUAAGGUAAGCCUGCACCAUGGACAACCUCAACAGAGACAUGACAAACGUUAGCUUUUAUAGUGGAAAACAUCAACAAAGGCAUGGCUCAUGUCAACCUGCGCCAUGAGCACCUCAAGGGGGACAUGACUCAAGUAAGCAGAACCUGGCUUUCACUAUUAUUUUUGUUCAUGUUGUGUUUUAAUCAAGUUUUUGUACUUGUAUUUAAGGCAAAUGGGUCACUUGCUGUAAAUAAAUACAGCCAUGCACUACUGUCCGG